GACCUCCUGGGAUCACAUCUGGAAAGUGGCUAGUAUUCUGCCAGCUUUGGAAAUGGGAAGGAAAGCACGCCUGGCAGACAGAGAUUCCCAUUCCAUUCCCAGCUUACGCAGUAGCUGGCAAUUGGAAGACAUUCUGCAACAGCG